UUGAACGCUGGCGGAAUGCUUUACACAUGCAAGUCGAACGGCAGCACGGGGGCAACCCUGGUGGCGAGUGGCGAACGGGUGAGUAAUGUAUCGGAACGUACCCAGUCGUGGGGGAUAACUAUCCGAAAGGAUAGCUAAUACCGCAUACGUCCUGAGGGAGAAAGCGGGGGACCGUAAGGCCUCGCGCGAUUGGAGCGGCCGAUGUCGGAUUAGCUAGUUGGUGGGGUAAAGGCCUACCAAGGCGACGAUCCGUAGCGGGUCUGAGAGGAUGAUCCGCCACACUGGGACUGAGACACGGCCCAGACUCCUACGGGAGGCAGCAGUGGGGAAUUUUGGACAAUGGGGGCAACCCUGAUCCAGCCAUGCCGCGUGAGUGAAGAAGGCCUUCGGGUUGUAAAGCUCUUUCAGACGGAAAGAAAACGCAUCGGUGAAUACCCGGUGUGGAUGACGGUACCGUAAGAAGAAGCACCGGCUAACUACGU
rnacentral:rRNA from 1 species